rnacentral:rRNA from 1 species
UGCAUAUCAAUAAGCGGAGGAAUUGAAACUAACAAGGAUUCCCCUAGUAGCGGCGAGCGAAGCGGGAAGAGCUCAAAUUUAUAAUCUGGCACCUUCGGUGUCCGAGUUGUAAUCUCUAGAAGUGUUUUCCGCGUUGGACCGCACACAAGUCUGUUGGAAUACAGCGGCAUAGUGGUGAAACCCCCGUAUAUGGUGCGGACGCCCAGCGCUUUGUGAUACACUUUCAAUGAGUCGAGUUGUUUGGGAAUGCAGCUCAAAUUGGGUGGUAAAUUCCAUCUAAAGCUAAAUAUUGGCGAGAGACCGAUAGCGAACAAGUACCGUGAGGGAAAGAUGAAAAGCACUUUGGAAAGAGAGUUAACAGUACGUGAAAUUGUUGGAAGGGAAACGCUUGAAGUCAGACUUGCUUGCCGGAGCUUGCUUCGGUUUGCAGGCCAGCAUCAGUUUUCCGGGGUGGAUAAUGACGGUUUGAAGGUAGCAGUCUCGGCUGUGUUAUAGCUUUCCGUUGGAUACAUCCUGGGGGACUGAGGAACGCAGCGUGCUUUUUGCGAAAGACUCG